UUUUAGUCCUCCAUCUUACAUUGAAAAUCAUUUCCCCUCCCAUUCCCGACACCUUUGGAGCGAUUUCUACGGCUUGAAUCAACAUUUACCCAUGUCGACACUCCAUCUAAUGCCCUCAUCGCCUUUUUUUUCUUUUUGUCGAGGUGGUGAUUCUAAUUAGAGGUUAGCGGGUCGUCGAGCCUGGUUUUCAAUCGCAUGCCAUAAUUUAUGCAGAUGCUGGAGUUCAAGCCCUGACAAAAGAACACUUCAAAACUGUUCGAUUUUAGAAAAGAACGACAUGGGUAGCGAUCGUAAAUCGAAAAAGAAGAGGUCUCCGGCUGAGUCCUCGUCGGAAGACGAAGGGAAGAACAAAAGGCGUAGAAGUUCAGAAACAAAGAGUGAUAAGAAAGAGAGAGACUCCGAUAGGAAGCACAAAUCGCAUAAAUCUUCAAGUACUAAAGGAUUUGGAACUAAGAAUCCAGUUGUAAGGACUUGUAUCCUGCCAAUAAUCCCUUUGAUUUGAACAACAAGUUGAUAUUGUUUCUCAAUUGUUGUAACUUUGAUUUGCACAACAACCUGCUUCCCUUGUAUAUAAGUAACCUUAGAAUUCCUCCUCAUAUCCAGAACCCUUAAUAUUCACCCUAAGCUAUAUUUUUUUUCAAUAAGCACUAAAUAGAUGUCUAAAGUCUGAUUGGGCCAGACAUUGGAUAGAUAAACGUGCUAAUUACUGCUACACAUCCAAUUAUAGAAAAGGGUAGUACGGGAAAAUAAAUAACAUCUUAUUAAUGGAGGGGCAUUUUAGGUAUUUUCUUUAAAAUACAUAUAAAGGAGUAGUAGAUGGAAGGAGUGUUAUAUUUUGUCAAGUUCUAGUUCUGGUCUUGGAACCUUUGGGUGAAUCUCUAGCAAAUCAUUAAAGGUUUAGCUUUGUUGAUUUGAGUGUUUAAUCAAUUCUUCGAGUAAGUUUUGUUAUCUGUUCCUUCCUGAGUAUUGAUUUCUUCUUCUAAGUUGUAAGUGAGUUGGUAGUAGUUAGCUUUCUUGUUCGUUAAGUUUUCAUUUUAUCUGAAAAACAUAUUAAUCUCAUAGACAGACUAUAAUAAAGUCUGAUUGCCUCU